rnacentral:lncRNA from 1 species
GUCUGAUCUUACUAUAUUUUUCCAUCCUUCUACUCUCUUAAGAGUUGCUAUGUUUUUCUCUGUUCUUUUAAAAUGGAAACAAAGAAAAGAUUGUACUUGACAAGAUAAGGAAACAGAAGUUGAUUCUGAUCAUCUCACCAUGGUAUACUUCCGGUAAUAUUGCUGCAAGAGGGGAGAGAGCACAGUUGAAACAAAAGGCAGGAGAGUUUUCCGGAGCUGGAACAAAAUAUUCAGCUGGAUGUUUGUCCCAAUUCUAAUAUCCCUGCAAAGAUGAGAUGCAUGAAUCACACAGCAAUCUCAUCAAAAAGGUGGGAUCCCCAACUGUGUGGAUCCUGGUAAGAAGAGCCCCCACCCCUCCCUGGAAUCCAGGACACUGGCAUCUAACUCACUCCAGGCCAACUGGAGGGCCCUACCUGUGUCUUCAAAGCUUGAUUAAAUGAUACAUUGCAAGGCCAAUUUAGGAUUUCUUGAAAGAGGUAAUGCGGGGUGGCAUGGCAGUGUUGUCUAGUUGUAGCAGUAUUCACUAGAGGCUCUGGCAGUGGCAAUAUCCAUGGUGUUCAUGGGGUGUGACCAGACUCUUCUCAGAUUGUGACCUUGGUUUUUGCCCGUCUUCCCUGAGAUCAAACCUGCUUCUCUAGCCCUCUCAUUCAUUCUAUAAACACCUUGAUAUUCCUCUACUAGAGGCCUUUUCUGUUUCAGUUAAUCACACUUUAUCUUACUUGUACCAAGAACAUUGACAGACCUGACAAAGGGUCAUAGAUUUCUUUCCAAAGCUUUGCUUCUAUGAAAUUUCCCUCUCACAAAGGAGAUUUCUCUGUAGGAAAGCCUUUGAGGCAAUGGUUCAGGCUAUGGCAGGCAUUAGUCUGUAACUGACCUAAGAUAGGAAAGAAAAUGGGUACAAGAAUCUCAAAAAUAUAACCACUACCCAAAACACUGUGGUGGUUUAGAAAAUACUUUGCAGGUGAAACACUUCCUUCUUUUUUUAUUAUUAUUAUACUUUAAGUUCUAGGGUAUAUGUGCACAACGUGCAGGUUUGUUACAUAUGUAUACAUGUGCCAUGUUGGUGUGCUGCACCCAUUAACUCG